AAAAUGCGAUAAGUAAUGUGAAUUACAGAAUUCAGUGAAUCAUCGAAUCUUUGAACACACAUUGCGCCCGCCAGUAUUCUGGCGGGCAUGCCUGUUCGAGCGUCAUUUCAACCCUCAAGCCCCCGGGUUUGGUGUUGGGGAUCGGGCUGCGGUUCUACCGCGUCCCGGCCCCGAAAUCUAGUGGCGGUCUCGCUGCAGCCUCCAUUGCGUAGUAGCUAACACCUCGCAACUGGAACGCGGCGCGGCCAAGCCGUUAAACCCCCAACUUCUGAAUGUUGACCUCGGAUCAGGUAGGAAUACCCGCUGAACUUAAGC
rnacentral:misc_RNA from 1 species